UGAGGAACAUGACCUUCGGCGGGGAUAGCCGGCCCAACGGCCGGGUAAUACCGCGUACGACCACAUGGGGACAUCCCUGAGUGGUGAAAGCAGCAAUGCGCCGAUGGAGUGCCUCGCGGCCUAUCAGCUAGUUGGUGAGGUAACGGCUCACCAAGGCGACGACGGGUAGCUGGUCUGAGAGGAUGGCCAGCCACAUUGGGACUGAGACACGGCCCAGACUCUACGGGAG
rnacentral:rRNA from 1 species